AUUGAACGCUGGCGGCAUGCUUUACACAUGCAAGUCGAACGGUAACAGGCCGCAAGGUGCUGACGAGUGGCGAACGGGUGAGUAAUGCAUCUGAACGUGCCCAGUCGUGGGGGAUAACGCAGCGGAAGCUGCGCUAAUACCGCAUACGAUCUAUGGAUGAAAGCGGGGGACCGUCAGGCCUCGCGCGCUUGGAGCGGCCGGUGUCAGGUUAGGUAGUUGGUGAGGUAAACGAUAACCAAGCCAACGAUCUGUAGCUGGUCUUAGUGGACGACCAGGCGAACUGGGACUGAGACACGGCGCGGCAUCCUACGGGAGGCAGCAGUGGGGAAUUUUGGAAAAUGGGCGCAAGCCUGAUCCAGCAAUGCCGCGUGCAGGAAGAAGGGCUUCGGGUUGUAAACUGCUUUUGUACGGAACGAAACGGCUCUCACUAAUACUGGGGGCUAAUGACGGUACCGUAAGAAUAAGCACCGGCUAACUACGUGCCAGCCGCCGCAGUAACAC
rnacentral:rRNA from 1 species